CCGAAGAAGACUCCGGGGCCGCGGCCACAC
rnacentral:sRNA from 1 species